rnacentral:rRNA from 1 species
AAAAUUAGAGUGUUCAAAGCAGGCAGAUCCAAUUCUCUGCCACCGAAUACAUUAGCAUGGGAUAAUGGAAUAGGACCCUGUCCUCCUAUUUUCAGUUGGUUUUGGCAGCGCGAGGACUAGGGUAAUGAUUAAUAGGGAUAGUUGGGGGCAUUAAUAUUUAAUUGUCAGAGGUGAAAUUCUUGGAUUUAUGAAAGAUUAACUUCUGCGAAAGCAUCUGCCAAGGAUGUUUUCAUUAAUCAAGAACGAAAGUUAGGGGAUCGAAGACGAUCAGAUACCGUCGUAGUCUUAACCAUAAACGAUGCCGACCAGCGAUUAGGAGACGUUGAAUACAAAACACCACCAUCGGUGCGGUCGUUCUUGGCGUCGGUUUCGGCCGGCGCGGGGACGGCUUAGCCCGGUGGCACCGGUGAA